CAUGUCCUUUUGAAUUUUAUUUAAGGUUUAAUCUGCUCAAUGAUAUGAUUUUAAAUUGCCGCAGUAUUUUGACUGUGCAAAGGUAGCAUAAUAAUUAGUUUUUUGAUUGAGAACUUGUAUGAAUGAUUGGACGAGAAAUUUACUGUCUCUUUUUUAUUUAUUUUUAAUUUAAUUUUUAAGUAAAAAGGCUUAAAUAUUGAUUAAAGACGAGAAGACCCUAUAGAGUUUGAUUUUUUGAUUAUAAUUUUUUUUUUGGUAUAUAAUUUUAAAUUUUGUUAAUUAAUUUGGUUGGGGUGAUUUGAAGAUUAAUGUAACUCUUUAAUUUUUUAAUCAUUGAUUAAUGAAUAUUUUAUCUGAUUUAUCAAAUAUAAAAUAAAUUACCUUAGGGAUAACAGCGUAAUUUCUUUUUAUAGUUCUUAUAGGAAAUGAAGUUUGCGACCUCGAUGUUGGAUUAAAAUUUAUUUAGGGUGAAAAAGCUCUAAAAAUUAAGUCUGUUCGACUUUUAAAAUUUUACAUGAUCUGAGU
rnacentral:rRNA from 1 species